GAUGAACGCUGGCGGCGUGCCUAAUACAUGCAAGUCGAGCGAACAGACGAGGAGCUUGCUCCUCUGACGUUAGCGGCGGACGGGUGAGUAACACGUGGAUAACCUACCUAUAAGACUGGGAUAACUUCGGGAAACCGGAGCUAAUACCGGAUAAUAUAUUGAACCGCAUGGUUCAAUAGUGAAAGACGGUUUUGCUGUCACUUAUAGAUGGAUCCGCGCCGCAUUAGCUAGUUGGUAAGGUAACGGCUUACCAAGGCAACGAUGCGUAGCCGACCUGAGAGGGUGAUCGGCCACACUGGAACUGGGACACGGUCCAGCCUCCUACGGAAGGCAGAGGUAGGGAAUCUUCCGCAAUGGGCGAAAGCCUGACGGAGCAACGCGGGGUGGGUGAUGAAGGUCUUCGGAUCGUAAAACUCUGUUAUUAGGGAAGAACAAAUGUGUAAGUAACUAUGCACGUCUGGACGGUACCUAUCAGAAAGCCACGGCUAACUACGUG
rnacentral:rRNA from 1 species